AAUAGCUCAAAUUUGAAAGCUGGCACCUUCGGUGUCCGCGUUGUAAUUUGUAGAGGAUGCUUCGGCGAGGACUCCUGCCUAAGUUCCCUGGAAUGGGACGUCACAGAGGGUGAGAAUCCCGUAUGUGGCGGGCGGUCCAAGCCAUGUGAAGCUCCUUCGACGAGUCGAGUUGUUUGGGAAUGCAGCUCUAAAUGGGAGGUAAAUUUCUUCUAAAGCUAAAUACCGGCCAGAGACCGAUAGCGCACAAGUAGAGUGAUCGAAAGAUGAAAAGCACUUUGGAAAGAGAGUUAAAAAGUACGUGAAAUUGUUGAAAGGGAAGCGCUUGCAACCAGACUCGCUCGCAGUUGCUCAGCCCGCCUCUUGGUGGGUGUACUCUUCUGCGAUCGGGCCAGCAUCAGUUCGGGCGGCUGGAUAAAGGUGUCGGGAAUGUAGCACCCUUCGGGGUGUGUUAUAGCCCGGCGCGGAAUGCAGCCAGCCUGGACUGAGGAUCUCGCUUCGGCAAGGAUGCUGGCGUAAUGGUUGUAAGCGGCCCGUCUUGAAACACGGACCAAGGAGUCUAACAUCUAUGCGAGUGUUUGGGUGUCAAACCCAUGCGCGUAAUGAAAGUGAACGGAGGUGGGAACCCGUAAGGGCGCACCAUCGACCGAUCCUGAUGUCUUCGGAUGGAUUUGAGUAAGAGCAUAGCUGUUGGGACCCGAAAGAUGGUGAACUAUGCCUGAAUAGGGUGAAGCCAGAGGAAACUCUGGUGGAGGCUCGCAGCGGUUCUGACGUGCAAAUCGAUCGUCAAAUUUGGGUAUAGGGGCGAAAGACUAAUCG
rnacentral:rRNA from 1 species